rnacentral:lncRNA from 1 species
CACGUGACACCGUAACAGUUUACUCCCCUUGUCCUUCAAACCCCAAGCCAUGUAGGAAUCCACGGCUUCUCACAUGUAAGCCAUUACUGGAGCAGUUGAGUGGCUACAGCUGCUGCAGACUGCAUGCCAACAUCCUGCAAGUCGAUAGACCUGCAGCAUCUCUGGCAGUCACCAGUAACUUCAUGAGGAAAGCUGGCUGCUUGGAAAGAAGAAAGUGAGGCCUGAGAACCUGCCAGGAUCCAGACUUAUCUCCACGGCUAGUGAAGUGGGAAGAUGCUUUUGCACAGGGAAGCUACUCAUCUUUCUUGUCACCCACGUUGGCUGUUUCCAGAAAGGAUUAUAUUAUACAUGUGUAUGUGUGCAUGAAUAUGUGUGUGUGCACAUGUGCAUGUGAGUGUGUUUACUCACCUGCGUGGAGAACACUUGUAGGUUAGAGGGUGACAUCAGGUGUCUUCCUCAGGGUCCCUUACUGGGUCUGGAGCUCUGUAUUUAGGUCUGGCUUGCUGGCCAGUGAACCCCAGAAUCUGCCUGUCUCUUCAACCCAGAACUAGAAUUACAGCAGUGAACCGGAUCCUGGGAUGAAACGUUGGGAGAUUUUGUCGUGUCUCAGUGGCUAUGCCUUGUGGGAAGCUCUUCCUGACAAUUCAGACCUAAGAUGUCGGUGCCGAUUGAUGACGGCGUCUUUGUGCACCAGCCCUUCCUUUCCCAAUUUACUCCACCAGGGUGUGGUCAAGACAGAAUGGGAUAAGACCUAUGAUGUGUAUGGUGUUCAGUUUUCUACAUCAAGUCAUAGACCUGAGGUUUCAGCCCCUGAUGCUUAUGGCCUGUGCCCAGGUAGCUCCUCAGGACAUGCUGUGUGUGAAAGUGAAGCCAGUCACUUCUUGACUAUGAUAUAAAGGAAGGAGCCAUGGUCCCACUAACCUCCUGGAAGGGAUUUAUACUGAUGUAUCUUUGGUAGUGCCUUCAAGCUGUGCUCCAGGAACUGUCAUUUCCCAGAAAAGAUGGAAUUAUCUGGAGACAUGCUGGAAGAGGAUUUGACGUGAACA